rnacentral:ncRNA from 1 species
CCGAAAAAUAGUGAGCUAUGCCUGAACAGGUCGAAGUAAGGGAAGACCCUUAUGGAAGGCUGUAGCAAUUUUGAUGGGCAAAUCGAUUUACAGAGUUCAGAAUAGGGACGAAAGCAGUUGGUUCCAUCAAAAGCUAUCAUAGUUG